rnacentral:rRNA from 1 species
GACGAACGCUGGCGGCGUGCUUAACACAUGCAAGUCGAACGGAAAGGCCCUGCUUUUGUGGGGUGCUCGAGUUGCGAACGGGUGAGUAACACGUGAGUAACCUGCCCUUGACUUUGGGAUAACUUCAGGAAACUGGGGCUAAUACCGGAUAGGAGCUCCUGCUGCAUGGUGGGGGUUGGAAAUUUUCGGCGGUUGGGGAUGGACUCGCGGCUUAUCAGCUUGUGGGUGGGGUAGUGGCUUACCAAGGCUUUGACGGGUAGCCGGACUGAGAGGGUGACCGGCCCCAUUGGGAUUGAGAUAGGGCCAAGACUCCUACGGGAGGAAGCAGUGGGGAAUAUUGCACAAUGGGCGGAAGCCUGAUGCAGCAACGCCGCGUGCGGGAUGACGGCCUUCGGGUUGUAAACCGCUUUCGCCUGUGACGAAGAGUGAGUGACGGUAAUGGGUAAAGAAGCACCGGCUAACUACGUG